rnacentral:rRNA from 1 species
GGAUCCUGGCUCAGGACGAACGCUGGCGGCGCGCCUAACGCAUGCAAGUCGAACGGAAUCAAGAGGAGCUUGCUUUUCUUGAUUUAGUGGCGAACGGGUGAGUAACGCGUGAGUAACCUGCCCUGGAGUGGGGGACAACAGUUGGAAACGACUGCUAAUACCGCAUAAGCCCACGGUACCGCAUGGCACUGAGGGAAAAGGAGCAAUCCGCUUUGAGAUGGCCUCGCGUCCGAUUAGCUAGUUGG